UCCCAGUCUUACAACCAUUAAGUGCUCACCCAACUUAACAAGAAAAUCUUCUCGGGAUAUAAUGAUUACAAAAUAGAAAUAUGUACAAAAGAAAUUGGAAUAAUUUUCUGAUUUUUCUCCAUGAUUACUCUCUUUGCCUUUUCUUUUAAUGGCUUUUAUUAAUGACUCACAUAUUUGCCUUUUUCCAUUGAUUUAAAAACAAAGAAGGAUAAAACUGAAGAACAUAAAAUUCAAUGUAAAUCCAUGAAGAAGAAAAAAAUAUAACUAGAAAGCUAUGAAGGCCGAAACAGUGUGCUCACUCUUCUUGUUUUAAUUUUUGGCUAUUUAUCCUUUUAAAUAAGAAUAAAGCUAUCAAAAUUUGAGCUUGGUUAAACACCUUUGUCUUUAUUCUUUUUUCUCAUAAAUCAGAUUAGAGACGCAAAGAAGAGAUAGGACAGCAGCAAUAAUUUCAUGGAUUAUAGAGUUAACUUGAAUUCUUACCUAACUACUUUUCUUUCUUUCUUUUUCUUUGACAUAAAAAAUAUGAACUAUUGAUCCAUUCUUUGGCUUCAAGUUUCAAUUGUGACAUUUGAUUUACAAUAGAGUAAAACAACAUUCAUUUUCUUUUUCUUGCCCGAAAACAGAAAGAUGGUACUUCAACAAGUUAUAGUGAUUGUACAAAGAUGACAACUUUCUUCUUUGUUUUGCCUCUUAACCAAAUUUGAUUUGAUUUUUCUCUUUUUGCCUUCAAUCUUUGACUUUUUCCUUUUUUUCCCUUUUGAUGCAUAAAUUUGGUAAUCCACCUUUUUCACUUUUCUUAAACCUAAUCUGAGUAUACAUUUUUACUUGUGAAACAUCUUUUUAUCCUUGGUUUAAGAUUAGUCACAUGGGUUAUGGUCAGAAGAGAAAAGUGAUUGUUUGGUUAGAGUCUUGGAAAUUUGAACACUUGGUUACGGGCUAGAAGAUAAUAAGUGUUGUUAAGGGAGCUUUGGGCCUGUUUUGAAUAUUUUAUUUUUCUGCACAGUGAACAUAUAUAUUAUACACAUUUUUGGGCUUUCAACCGAAAUCACUAAUAUUUGUCAUUAUCAAAUUAUUGUUAUUUUUAUUUAAACUCAACAAUCUUUCUCUUGAUGACAAACAUUAUAAAAGAAAAUGAAUUGAUAUUAAAAGAGGUGAGAAGAGUUAAUGAUACUUCUCUUUGAUGAUCCACUUUCAUGCAUAUUGAUUUUUCCUUCUCUUUCAUUUGAUUAGCUCCUCCUUAAUGUGUGCUUUUUCUCAUUCUGUGAUCACUAUUAAAAUAGCAAUGUUUGUGCAGAAACUAUAGUCAAAGGUAAUACCUAAUAUCAGCAAUUAACCUAACAUCCACAAAUACAAUAUCUACAAAUAUACAAAGCAGUCUAUUGAUGUGAAAUUUUUCAAAACCACAAUUCGACAAGUGCACUGAAUCGUAUUAAGUAAUAUCACAGUGAAUAAGUUAUCAUUCCCACGAAGAUUAAAGGACUAAACAACAAUGAUUAAUUGAUUAUUCUAAUAAGACAAAUCAAGAAACAGAAGAAUGAAUGAGGAAUUAAAGCAAACAUAUAAACAGAGGAAAAGUAAAUAGCAAACUGUAAGUGAAAAUAAUGAUGGUGAGAAUGUUAAAGCAUGUAGAGAUCAAUCACGAUAAAAUCAUAUAUAAUUGAAUUUCAAUUCCUUGAGAAUCCAAUUUCUCCUUAAUUAACUAAUUGUCAAUUCUUUGGUCAACUAAUUAAGAAAAGAGGUUAAGCACAAAUCUUAUUUAGUUUCAAAUAAGAUUCAAGAAUAAUUUUAGGUUGGAUUAUAUAUCACUUAUUCAAGCUAGUCUUAAACAAUUGAAACUUACAAGAAAGAAGAAUGAUUUCUAAAAGUUUUCUAAUCCAAAUUUUAUGUCACUUUUCAAACUAGAGCAAUUGAAAAUCACAAAGUAUUGCACACUCUUUGAAACAUUAUUCAUAGUCAAAUAAAAAAGUUGUGAGAAAGAGUUUUCAAGUUAAUUCUAAUAUUAAGUUUUUCAAAACAAUAUUUAAAAUCUAAAACAAAGUUAGAAUGUUUUCCAACAAUUUUGAAUCUUUAGGGAUGAAGAACGAAAACUCAAUCAUAAAAUAGAUUAAAGUACAAACCUCAUAUAAAGUAAAAUUAGAUUAAUAAUCCAUAAAAAGAUGAACAAAGCUCCUAACCUUAACAAAGGAGAUUAGUUACUCACAGUGGAAUGAAAACAAAAACUCUAAAGUCUAGUGUAAACUAUAUGAGAUAUGAUGUCCACCUCGUGAAAACAAUCCUUGGACUUAUUUAAAACCUAAACCGAAACCUAGAAUUUAAAUACAAAACUAAAUCAAAACAGAAUCAAAUCUAAUUCAAAUCAAAUCUUUUUUUAAUGACUCUUAACUGACUAGUAAUCUUCCUUGUAAU
rnacentral:lncRNA from 1 species